CCUGAGGCUGGAGAGGCUAUGAGCUCAUGCUGGGGCUGGGAAGGGGGGGGUCAGGGACACUUCACCACUUGUGUAUUUCUUGGGGUGACUCCAAUUUCUCAACACCUCCAAUUUUGUCUUUCCCCAUUCCUUCCUCCCUCCCUCUCCCUGUUGCCGUCAGCCUGAACUUUUAUUACUUUCUCUAAUGAAACACACUCUAUCUCACCUUGAUGCGUUUGAAACAGCUGUUUCUUCUAGAUGGAACAAUUCUACCCUCCUUAACAUCCUUCCUUCCACAAACCAUCUGUGCUAAAACAGGACUCUUCCGGUCUCAGACUAAACCUCACUCCCUCAGGGAAGUCAUUCCUGGCUCCUCCAUCCUCUAAGAUUAGGUGAUAUCCACUGCAUCUUUCCUUCCCACUUCCAGGCAUCUCUUCUAGAUUGGACACUCUGGGAGAGGAGGGUCACACCAACCUGUUCAGCUUUGUAUUCCCAUUGACUGGAACAAUGCUAAGCACACAUUGAAGCUAGAGUAAUUCAGUCUUGGACAUCACCUGGCUCAGUCUCUUAACGUGGGACUUUGCAGAGGACUUUGAUUUCAUCCUGUGAGACUUCUAGCAGAGAACUUAUGCUCAGCCCAGAUUCCUGACCCCAGGAAAUGCACUAUCAGUGACAUUCCAGGGUGGACUUCUUCUAUCACCUUGGAUACUUAUGUUGGUUGCUGUAACUUGAAAUCAAGAAAUGGCAUCUCUCCCACCCACGGUUGGAACCUGUGUCUCCUGCCUUGCAGGUGAAUUCUCUACUGUUGAGUCACCUGGGAAGCUCACCAAGCCACUUGCAGGCUUCCAGAUUCAAAAGCACGCCUGCACCUUAGCAUCUCUGCACACACGUUUUUGAUCUGUUCUGAAUACUCUCCCCCACUUCUCUGUUUCAUGCUUCAGAGCUCAGUUCAGGUGCCAUUUUCCUCAGGGCCACCCUCCCUUAAGGAAACUUGGUUCUUCAAGGAAAAUCUCAAACAAAGGACAAUCUGGAGGGAGAAUUAGGAAGUGAAAAAUUCCCAAUUGUGACACUGCCUUUGUAUUUUGCUUUACACAUACUUCAAUGUAGGGCUUAUUUUCCAACAUUGAAAUGGUUGUUUUCUAUGGCUGCUUCUCCCCCUAGACUACAGCCUCUUGGAAGGCCAAAUCCACAUCUUUUCAUUCCUCUGUACUUAGUUGGUCGUGUGGCUGAAUCUUUUCCAAAGGCUUUCUGAGUUCAACACAACAAUCUUAUACUAACACUAGUGCAGCAGAUGUGGAAACCUUAAUUAUUUUAUUAGUUGGCCUUAGAAUCCUUUUUAUAUGUGCUUGCCUGUUUUGGUUAAGAAGAAUCCCUUGAGAAGCCACUUGAGGCUUGAAUGAAAGCUCAGAGCAUCUGAACUUUGGGGGGAAAAUUCAAGGUGAUGAAAGAAAAGGGUACUUGGCUCUGUGUGAGAAGAUGAAAGGAAGGUGGCUUUGCUCCUGGGGUAGGGAGAGAAGGACUAUGAUAGUAGAAGAAAGGGAAAUGAAAUAGGGCAAGUGAUGAGCGAAAGAGAUUGGGAAAGAGGGGCAUCUGUCACCAGUGAGAUGGGCUGAGAUUAAGGCAUGAGAUGGGAUGAAGCAGCCAGGGAAAGUUCUCUGGUUCCAGGGUGACCAAAGCAUUUCAGCAACAGAUGAAGUUUUUAUAUCACUUUGAUUAGGAAUCUCUUCUAUGUGUGUCCUGUGUAGCUCAUAAUUUUCAAUAAAAUCCACCAACUCACAAAUGCCUUUUACAAGU